AAAGGUAAGCUACUAAGAGCGAAUGGUGGAUGCCUUGACUGGUAAAGGCGAUGAAGGACGUACUAGACUGCGAUAAGCUACGGGGAGCUGUCAAGAAGCUUUGAUCCGUAGAUUUCCGAAUGGGGCAACCCAAUGUAUAGAGAUAUACAUUACCUAUAUAGGAGCGAACGAGGGGAAUUGAAACAUCUUAGUACCCUCAGGAAAAGAAAUCAAUAGAGAUUGCGUCAGUAGCGGCGAGCGAAAGCGCAAGAGGGCAAACCCAGUGCUUGCACUGGGGGUUGUAGGACUGUAAUGUGCAAGAGGUAAGUUUAGCAGAACAUUCUGGAAAGUAUAACCAUAGAGGGUGAUAGUCCCGUAUGCGAAAAACAAACCUUAGCUAGCAGUAUCCUGAGUAGGGCGGGACACGAGGAAUCCUGUCUGAAUCCGGGUCGACCACGAUCCAACCCUAAAUACUAAUACCAGAUCGAUAGUGCACAAGUACCGUGAGGGAAAGGUGAAAAGAACUGAGGUGAUCAGAGUGAAAUAGAACCUGAAACCAU
rnacentral:rRNA from 1 species